rnacentral:tRNA from 13 species
UGGAGGAGCGGGGAUUUGAACCCCGGAACUUUCAUAAGCGAAACGAGCGCUCUACCACUGAGCUACAUUUCG